UACGUAGGGGGCAAGCGUUGUCCGGAUUUAUUGGGCGUAAAGAGCUCGUAGGCGGCUCAGUAAGUCAGGUGUGAAAACUCCAGGCUCAACCUGGAGACGCCACCUGAUACUGCUGUGGCUAGAGUCCGGUAGGGGAGCAUGGAAUUCCUGGUGUAGCGGUGAAAUGCGCAGAUAUCAGGAGGAACACCGGUGGCGAAGGCGGGUCUCUGGGCCGAUACUGACGCUGAGGAGCGAAAGCGUGGGGAGCGAACAGG
rnacentral:rRNA from 1 species